GCAGUGGCCAGCUUUGGGUUUCAAUAUUUGCAAGUCUCUUUUCCACAUAUAACCGGUCACCACUGGAAUCUCUAUUAAAAGGAGCGACACCCAGCGACCAGGAGGAGUCAUUACAUCUCCACCACAACCCCGGUGUGGUGUUCAGGAGUCCACAUCCAGAGAGGCAAAGACGAGUGGUUCCCAGGGUCCAGGGUCAACAGCAACAACACAACGACAAAGUGACAGUAUUUCCUCUGAUACUAAUUCACCUCCAUUUUGAAGCAUGCCAUAUUUAAGACGAUUCAUUCCUGGGGCUGUUGACCUCCCUUUUCUUUGGCCAAGAGUCAGUAUCAUUCUUUUCCUCAGGUCUGCUGCUAUAUUGAUUCAAAGUCAUGUUUCUCUUCCUGAACCCCUUCUAACCAAUGGAUAGACAGCUUUGAAUUGAUUUAUUAAACAGACUAUAUCCCACUGAUUAACAAAAAACCCUCCAGUCAUUCAUAUUAAAUUGCAAACUGGAAUUAUAGAAGUUUAUCACAUGAAUCCACCUUUACUGUCCCCACACUGAGCUGGAUCUGGAUAACUGGAUGUUGAAGGUGAUGAGAUGGACAUGUUCAGGAGUCCUCAUUUGGUCCCCUCACAUAUGUAGACUCAAUUGAGCUUUAUUAUUUUUAAUCAGAGAACUGUCAGAAAUCACAUUUUUCACUCCAUGCAAAUUCAGUAAGAUGGUCAGUGUGUGUAAAACCUGAAAAUGUUUGUGAAUGAAGGUGAAUCUCGCCGGGUGCGGUGGCGCGCGCCUGUAAUCCAAGCUCCCGGGAGGCUGAGGCUGGAGGAUGGUUUGAGCUCAGGAGCUCUGAGCUGCAGCGGACUGUGUCGAUCGGGUGUCCGCACUAAGUUCGGCAUCGAUAUGGUGAUGCUGGGGGAGCCCGGGACCACCAGGUCGUCUAAGGAGGGGUGCAUCGGCCCAGGCCGGAAACGGAGCAGGUCAAAGCCCUCGUGCCGCUCAGUAGUGGGAUCGCGCCUGUGAAUAGACGCUGUUGUGCAGCCUGAGCAACACAACCAGACCCAGUCUUUUAGAGGACUGGCACCAGGAACAGGCUCAACAAACUCACAUAUAUUCAGACUCUUCACAUAUAUUCAGCACUUUUCUCUCUUUUUCCUUGUUUUCUUGUUUUUAAUGAUCACCAAAACCACGUCUAAGCUUCUUCGAUGCUACACUGCCUCCACCUGGACCAAACAAGCAACUGUCUUUUUCUCCACAAUAUUCUGUGUUUAUGCCUAUGAAGGGGACUUUUUCAAAGUGCCAUUAAUUGAAUUAUUUUCCAAUAACAUUCCACCCAGUGGUGACCUGUCAGAUAUGGGAAAGUAACUUGCAAUAUUGAAACCCAAAUCCAUUUCUCCAAGCUGCUGUCCAUUUAAAAAAAAAAAAAAAACUGUCUCUGUCCGCGUCUCACUGCUCAUUUGCAUAUUGAAGUUAGGUUAGAUGAUGACGUCAUUGAAAACUGAUACAUUGUUUGCAGCUCCUAAGUCAAGAAACUUCUAAAUUACGUCAUCUGAUUUGCAUCGCUUCUCAUUUGCAUAUCUAGGUCAAAUUUUGCUUGAUUGUCAAGACGACAUCUAAAUGAUGAGUUAGUUUGGAUAAGAAGUACCAUGAAAAGUUAUCUGCUGCAGCAAUUGUUUUCAGACAGAUCACUUGUCAAUCUUGGACCAUCUAUCUUGAAUCAUUGAGGGUGUAUGAUGUUGAGGGUAAUGAUAUCCCAGUCACAUUCAAACCACACGAUUCAAGUCACCAUUUAAA